rnacentral:rRNA from 1 species
GGAUUGACGUGACAGUCGUGCCUUAAGGGGUAUGAACUGUCGCAGUUGAUUUCUCACCUUCUGGAGAAGCACGAUGUCCUUAAUUGGGUGCCGCGGGGAACCAGGACCUUUACUUUGAAAAAAUUAGAGUGUUUAAAGCAGGCAUUUUUGCUUGAAUACAUUAGCAUGGAAUAAUAAAAUAGGACGGCAUGGUUCUAUUUUGUUGGUUUCUAGGACCACCGUA